AAUGCCGCCGAGCUCGGGCAGGAGCCUCCCGCCCGCUGCUGCCGCGGCCCCCGGCGGGCCGGAGGCACCGAAGCGACGCCCUGACCAUCCCCAGGGAGAGUUCUCUGGCCGCGCUGGCUCGAUCAGUGAUCUCACGGAGAACCCCCUGAACGUGCAAAACCUCCGUGUGCUCGGAGACUGGCAGAGCUGAGCACAGCCACGGGUGAAAACAGCACCCCAGGAGAAAAGUAUUGAGGGAUUCGACAGAAAAAAGAAGAGGUACCGGCAGCCCCUGACAUCGAUGCACCUCUGUGCUUGUAAGAAAUCCUGAUUUUCUUCCUCAAAACUCAGCGCCUAAACUUUGCCUUGGAGCUGCUCAUCUUCAUCACACAGUACAGGAACAGAAAAAAAAUGCUCUGAAACAGGUACAGGAAUCCUGACCUAUGAAGAAAACCCAGUUUUGUCCAUGUACCAGAGGUGAAACAAUAACAGUUCUGCUGAAAGAGUUAAAAAAAAAUACCCUUGCUGCUCUCAAUAUCCGUAUUAUAGACAUUGUAAGCAUUAUUAUGAAUAACACUGAACUUGGUUUCUGUUUUGCUCUUGUCCUACUUUGGGUUCUGUGGAAUGGUGUUCAAUAAAAGUUUGACUUCAUGUACAGUCAGAACCUCUUCUCACCAACAGGAAAGCCUAAUAAGCUUCAGAAUAUAUAUUGUUGUUCAAUUACAUUAAAAAUAAAGUCAAAGCCCUCAGUUUUUAUAACUCUGUAGCAUUUAUAAAAAAGUAUUUUAAAAUCGUACCUUGUGGGCACUAUUCAUAGCAUUCAUACUGUAAAAUAAGACAAGAAAAUUUAAGCAUUAUCUCCAGAAUGAAUUCAGUUUUGUGAAUUCUGUGGUUUGUGAUUUUAUUGAAAUGCAUUUCAACUUUCAGAAGUUCACUGAAGCAAAAGCCUCCUUUUCAUUACUGCUGUUCCUGUUUGGAGUAUGUUAACAGUUUUUAAGCUUUUCGUAACUAGUUUCUGAUUUUUAAUUAUCCACUACAUUUAUAAAGCAUAUCUUCGUGUUUUCUUUAAGUAUAAGGGGACUAAACCAAAGGCUUACACUAAAGAAGUGAUGUUCUUUCCAUGUCACUGAAGUUCUUAGCAUCAGGAAGGCACUGAUAAGAAGUUAAGUAUGUGCACAAAAACAUACAGAACAGGAGCCUUAGUUUCUAGACUCCAAAGAUAUCAUAGUAUUAAAUUUGAAAAAUCAAGUACUUCUAAUUCUGUAGGAUUUUUAGCAAGACAAAUGGUAUUGUUAAGGCUUCUGAGAUUAUAUAUGUGUCUACAAAGAUGCAAGUGAUCCAGUAAUUUUGCAACAAGGUAGACAGGUAUCAUGAAAAGAUUCUAGAUUUGUGCACCACUGAAAAGGGUGACAAACUGUAACCUGCUACUCUGAUAUGAAGCAUUUGGUUGUUUGGCUUUUUUCCAGAUUAUCACUUGUUUGGCUGUUGGUUAAAACACCAAAUUCAUAGUGAGUUCUCUCGGUGAGAGAAUCCUCAUCUUUUUUGUGUGAGAGAACACACAAAAAAAAUUCAAGUUACUGUUUAAAUAUUCACAAGUAUUCUAUUAAUCUACUUCUAAUACUUCUUAUUGAAUGUACAUUGCAUAGAAUUCCCAUGCAGAACAUGACCAUAAACCAAUUUCUGCUGUGAAGUCAUUAAUGUUAUAAAAAUAACUGGCUGUCUUGAAAAAAAAUAAAUACGAUGUACUAUAA